rnacentral:rRNA from 1 species
AUUGAACGCUGGCGGCAGGCUUAACACAUGCAAGUCGAACGGUAACGGGUUGGAAGCUUGCUUUCAAUGCUGACGAGUGGCGGACGGGUGAGUAAGGCUUGGGGAUCUGGCUUUUGGAGGGGGAUAACCAUUGGAAACGAUGGCUAAUACCGCAUAGGAUCGAGAGAUGAAAGGGGUGGUUUAUGCCACUUGCCAAGGGAUGAACCCAAGUGAGAUUAGGUAGUUGGUGGGGUAAAGGCCUACCAAGCCGACGAUCUCUAGCUGGUCUGAGAGGAUGGCCAGCCACACUGGGACUGAGACACGGCCCAGACUCCUACGGGAGGCAGCAGUGGGGAAUAUUGCGCAAUGGGGGGAACCCUGACGCAGCCAUGCCGCGUGAAUGAAGAAGGCCUUCGGGUUGUAAAGUUCUUUCGGUGGUGAGGAAGGCGGUAGUGUUAAUAGCGCUAUUGUUUGACGUUAGCCACAGAAGAAGCACCGGCUAACUCCGUGCCAGCAGCCGCGGUAAUACGGAGGGUGCGAGCGUUAAUCGGAAUAACUGGGCGUAAAGGGCACGCAGGCGGGACGUUAAGUGAGAUGUGAAAGCCCCGGGCUUAACCUGGGAACAGCAUUUCAUACUGGCGUACUAGAGUACUUUAGGGAGGGGUAGAAUUCCACGUGUAGCGGUGAAAUGCGUAGAGAUGUGGAGGAAUACCGAAGGCGAAGGCAGCCCCUUGGGAAGAUACUGACGCUCAUGUGCGAAAGCNGUGGGGAGCAAACAGG